rnacentral:sRNA from 1 species
AACUCGAUAUCGCUGCACCAAGGGAACCGGGGAACCACCCCCUGCCGGCCAGUCCGGUGGGGAUGGGGUGAAUCGGACAAGUCCCGCCCACGGGCGGGCAGUUCGUAGGAGACCUUCCUGCUCCGAACCCGUCAGCUAACCCGGUAGGCGAGAAGGAAGGAAAGG